rnacentral:lncRNA from 1 species
AAAAGAAAUAAUCUUAUUCAUAUAAUGCAAGUGUUUCUAAACAUUGCCCUAAGCCCCUUCAUAUAGAGAAGGACUUUGAAAUUAAAUAAACUUCUUAUCUAAAGAAACUUGAAAAUAAAAGAUAACAUUGUCAAAAUAAAACUAUUAUAAUUUAGAUAUACUAGAAUUCUACUGAUUAUUAGUCUUUCGCCUUGAAUAGACUUUUAAUUGUUUCCUUGUUGCAUCAUUCCUCCCCGGCUGAAAAGAACUCGACUCCGACGAGGUAUAGUCCAAGUAAGCAUCCAAAAGCUUUGGAUCCAAUUGACGAAAUUCUUCUUCAUUAAUCCACGUAGCAUCACUAAGCGGACGAUCUUUCGAACACACAAGAAACCUACGAAAACCCCCAUUUUGGGAUGUAAUGAUCUCAUCAUCGAGCACCUCAUCAACAAUAUCCUGAUGUGAAAAUGUGGUAAUGGGGGCUCGAGGGAGCGGUUGAGAAACUUGUCCUGCAGACAUGUUAGAAGACAAAAUCGGAGGCUCGAAUGUGCCUCGAUAAGGAUAUAAAUCUGCUAUAUUGAAAACUGGACUAAUAUUUAAGUGCAUUGGCAAAUCAAGUAGAUAAGCAUUAGUUCCAAGCCUUUUAAUAACAAGGAAAGGGACAAGUGAUCUAGCACAAAGUUUUUUUGCAGCAUGUUUUGGAAAACGUUCAGGUGCAAGUCUUAUCUUAACAAAAUCGCCAAUCUUAAACUCUUUAUGCCUACGAUGUGCAUCAGCUGUUAGUUUAUAGUGGUCAUUGCUUAAAACAAUUUUUCUUUUAAUCUCUUCAUGUAAGGUGCGAAUAUGAUCAGCAAAAGAUUGCGCAGAUGCAACAGGACGAAAAUCAGUAGGUAAUGGAACGAGGUCCAGUGGUUAUCGUGGGGAGAAACCUUGAACAAUCUCAAAUGGACUAUGACCGGUAGACCUAUUAACAGAAUUAUUGUAUGUAAAUUCAGCGGUAGGCAAUACCAAAUCCCAAUUACCCGAUUUGUCCCCAACUAAACAACGAAGCAAAUUACGUAAACUACGAUUUACUACUUCUGUUUGAUCAUCUGUUUGGGGGUGGAAUGCUGAUGAAAACUUAAGAGUUGUCCCAAACAAUUUCCAUAGAGUUUUCCAAAAGUAACUAACAAAUUUAACAUCUCUAUCAGAAACAAUAGUGAUUGGCAGUCCGUGCAGGUGAACAACCUCUUUAAAGAAUAACUUAGCGAUAUAUGAUGCAUCAGUAGACUUGGAACAUGGAAUGAAAUGGGCCAUCUUGGAAAAUCUAUCGACGACAACAAAAAUGAAAUCAUGACCUCUUGCAGUUUUAAGCAAUCCUAGGAGAAAAUCCAUACUAAGGUCACGCCAAGGAGUAUGAGGAACAGGUAGGGGAGUAUACAUCCCCGUGUUUUGACGUUGGGUCUUACCCAAUUUACACGUGCGACAUUGAGACACAAUACGAGCCACAUCCUUUUUAAGGGAAGGCCAGUAAAAUCUAUCCUCAACUAAGGAGACAGUUUUAUCACAACCAAAGUGACCUGCGAGACCUCCAGCAUGGAGUUCCCAAAUAAGGAACUCACGAAGUGAGGUGAGAGGAAACACAACUUGUUACCUUUAAAAAGAUAACCCUCUUUAAGCAAGAAAGCGACAUGAUUACGAGAGAAGUUAGAUACGAGAUCUUGAAAAAUGAGACCAAAGUCGGGACA